GUAACCUUUUGAAAUAGAAUCUAAAGUGCCCCAAAAUGGCUUUUUAAUGAAAUUCUAGUGAAAAUCCUAAGGAAAUGAUGUAUUACUAUUUACUUAUUAACCUAUGAGAAUACAUACUAUGCUUUUUAUUUUUCUCUUGAAAGUAAAGAAAUAAAAGUAAUGGUUAACCAAGCCCCAUUUAUUUCUGGUUUCUAACGCCAUUUAGUUCAGAGUUUCUUAAAGUGAAGUCUUUAAACCGUGAACAUCAAAAUUAAUGUAAUGCUUCUUAAAAAUGCAGUUUCCAGGCCAUCCUUCAAACUUACUGAAUUACAAUCUUUGAGGAAUGGGGCCUACAAGUCAGUCCUUUAACAACCUCCCCAAAUGACUCUGAAGUACAAUAAUGUUUAAGAACCAUAUUUAAAUUUUACUCUUCCAUGUUGAUUAAUGAUUUGAUAUCACAGAUUAAGUAAAAGAUGGUUUCUUUUGCAUUACUUAAGUUUUAGUGUCAUUUGAAGAAGUGGCUGUACUGGUCCUUUGCAGUGAUUUUUAAUUUUAUUGUUACGUGGAAUAAAUAUUUCAUUGUAUGUGGUAGAAUCUGACAGCCUAUCGAAGAAAUUUCUUAGAACAUUAACAGGUGAGUCUGUAAGCUGUGCCUUUGUUGGGGCAGCUCUUUGGCAUAAACCAAUGGGAUUUGAGUAAUGGGCCAUAUGUCUGUUACAAUUCUGUAAAAAAAUUGGCUUACUUCAGAGAUGGAAAAAUGAUGCCAUCAAGCAGGAGUUGACAAUGUUUUCUUUUCUGCAAAAGGCCAAAGAGUAUUUUAGGCUUUGCAGGCCAUACAAUCUCUCUCGCGACUACUGAACUCCACUGUUGUAGUGUGAACACAGUCAUAAACAAUACAUAAAUAAAAGGAGCAUGUCUGUAUUGCAAUAAAACUUCAUUUACAAAAACUUUAAUUACAGUCUGAAUUAAGCCUGUGGACCAGUGUUUGUUGAUCCCCUAACAUAGACCAUUUAAUAUGUGAUUCAAUCAAUAUUUAAGGUAAAAGCAAUAGCACAAAUAUUGAAUAUUUACAACCUGAACGUAUAUGAGAACAUUGAUAAAAUGGAUUUAAAAAUACAGUGUUUGCUUCCUGUUCUAUUUUUCUUUAUUUUCUUUCCUUAUUGGUGAUACAAUGGCCCUACUGUGACUAAUCAUUGUGGUAGACUGUAAAUGUAGCCACAGAUUGGCCUCUCAUCAAGAGCUUAAGUCUAUUUCCACUGCCCUUUAAGCUGGCCCUGUGAUGAUCUCCGUACAACAGGAUGCAGCAGAAGUGUUGUGUUAGUUCUAACUUUAGACUUAAGAAGCCUUUCAGCUUCCACUUUCAUGCUGGGAAUCCUGAUGAAGAAAGAAAAUUCAUGUGGGGAGAGGUCUCAGCUGCCUUCAUCAUCUUAAUUGUCUUUAUUGAGGUCCACAUGAGGCCCACACGUAUAAUUGGACCCACCUGAGGAAAGGAAGAAUAUGAAGUCAAGGAAGACCAUCCACAGAAAAGAUGCUUGCCAAACUCCCAGGUUCCUGGCAGAAUGAAUAAUGUGAAUAAAAUGCAUGUUUAGUCCAACAGUCCUUCUUAAGUGGUAUAUAAAUAAAUAGUAUACAAUAAUAGAUUUUGUAUGGUGCAAUUGUUUUUAUUCAGAAAUGUAGAUACAUAGAAAUACAGUAUCUUAAAAACAUAGGAAGUUCCAGGGCUGCCCACUUACUGCUUCCUGUAUCAGGCGGCAUGAGAGUUACUGAGGAUACAAAGAUGAGUGAGACACUGCCCUGUAAAGCCAUAAUUGAGUUCACCUUUAUGAAUCUGUGUCUUAAUUCUGACACAUCAUUUGAAAGUCAUUUUUGGGGUAAAGGGGAAGGAAUCAGGAGAAGAUUAGAAAAAUCUCCAAUGACAUCUUAAUUAUAAAGGUAGGGGAAGCUUUGUUUUGGAGGGCACUUUAUGUAGAACUAAAGUAUUUUACAUAAUCCUAG
rnacentral:lncRNA from 10 species